GCUGGGAUCAGUAACAUCAAAUACAUAAUAGAAUUGGCAAGUAAAUGUUUCAUUUGUUCAGGGCAGAAUCUUUCUGUGGCUCUACACUCAGAAAAUACCCCGCCCCAACAUCAACCUGCAAUUUCCCUCAAGUAAUUCACCUUAAGAUAAUUAUUUACCUGCAGUUGUGUUUAAAUCCCAAUUUUAACAGGUCCAUGUGGCUUGUUAAAAGAAAAUAAUGUAACGUGAUAGAAAUGAUACAAUGUGGCUGAUCGCAUUUAUCUUCACAACCAAGAUAUCUCAUUGCUCUUUACAGGGAAAAAUAGAUGUCAUGUGACUCCAGUCACCCUAGAUUUCCCUCAAGAGUCAUAGGGUACAUGCUAUGAUUGCUCUUUCUCUUCUCUGGGGCCAAAACACUUUCAGGAAAAUAUUCUGAGUGACACACAAUUGGGAAAUGAUUCAAGCUGCAUCACUGGCUAAAUUCUUUUGUCAUCUUUAUGCAAUUAAAUGAUUAGCAGCAGGGCCAAAUGGCUACUGUCUCACUGGGUGUUGGCUGCCUACCUCAUUCCACUACUGCCAGUGAUGUGCUGUCUGAAAGACCAAAAUGGCAGCUGAGGUCAUCCUGUCCUUUGAGGUGUAAGUAAAAUAACCUCAAGGUUAAAUGUAAUGCCUUCUCUAUGUUUCUGAGAACUUUGGGGGCUUAAAUUUUCAUUGCAACUUCCCACUCUGAAUUUCUUCAGGUUCCUGUGGAUUCGAAGACUUUUGUCUCAAAGCCAUUCUCAGCCUUCUGCUCUGGGAAGGCUCAGAUAUAGAAUUCAGGUCUUUUCUCUGACUUCUCCCAGCUCAAGCAACUGCCAGACAGGGAACAUUUUCAUCGCCUCCUGCUCAGGCCCUGCUUCCUGGAGCAAUGUCUGCUGUUGAGGAUCCCAAAGCUAGAACCAAAGACCUCAGAUGUUUUCAAACUGAAGCGGCCUGCAUUCUGCUACAGGACUUCUUCCCCAGAGGCAUCCACUUGUCAGGAAGUACUUCCCCACAAAGUCAUAUGGUAGAAAUGGUGAAGAAAGAAACCCUGUGGAAGAGAAGAAUUCGCAAAAGCCAAGAGCAUCCAGGAUCCAAUGCAAGCUCCAUUGUUUAAUUAGUAAUCAAACUUAAUUGACCAAAAUCCAUAUGGAUGGCCCUCUAUCACAAAUAAGCAUUGGGAAGAGACACUGUUAAUCCAAAUAAAUAUGUGAUAUCCUCAAGAAGUUCA
rnacentral:lncRNA from 1 species